rnacentral:rRNA from 1 species
AACGAACGCUGGCGGCGCGCCUAAUACAUGCAAGUCGAACGAGAAUGUGUAGCAAUACACAUGUAAAGUGGCGAACGGGUGAGGAAUACAUAGGUAACCUACCCUCGAGUGGGGAAUAACUAGCCGAAAGGUUAGCUAAUACCGCGUACGCUCCCCGGACUACGGUUCGGGGAGGAAAGCGAUACCGUGGGUAUCGCGCUCUUGGAUGGGCUUAUGUCCUAUCAGCUUGUUGGUGAGGUAAUGGCUCACCAAGGCUUCGACGGGUAGCUGGUCUGAGAGGACGAUCAGCCACACUGGCACUGCGACACGGGCCAGACUCCUACGGGAGGCAGCAGUAAGGAAUAUUGCGCAAUGGGCGACAGCCUGACGCAGCGACGCCGCGUGGGGGACGAAGGUCUUCGGAUUGUAAACCCCUUUCGGGAGGGAAGAUGGGAUGGGUAACCAUUCGGACGGUACCUCCAGAAGCAGCCACGGCUAACUUCGUGCCAGCAGCCGCGGUAAUACGAAGGUGGCAAGCGUUGUUCGGAUUUACUGGGCGUACAGGGAGCGUAGGCGGUUCAGUAAGCCCUUUGUGAAAUCUCCAGGCUUAACCUGGAACAGCCGGAGGGGACUGCUGAGCUAGAGGAUGGGAGAGGAGCGCGGAAUUCCCGGUGUAGCGGUGAAAUGCGUAGAG